rnacentral:rRNA from 1 species
UGCCUUUCGGUUCGGGAUAACGUCUGGAAACGGACGCUAACACCGGAUACGCCCUUCGGGGGAAAGUUUACGCCGAGAGAGGGGCCCGCGUCCGAUUAGGUAGUUGGUGGGGUAAUGGCCCACCAAGCCGACGAUCGGUAGCUGGUCUGAGAGGAUGAUCAGCCACACUGGGACUGAGACACGGCCCAGACUCCUACGGGAGGCAGCAGUGGGGAAUAUUGGACAAUGGGGGCAACCCUGAUCCAGCAAUGCCGCGUGAGUGAUGAAGGCCUUAGGGUUGUAAAGCUCUUUCGCACGCGACGAUGAUGACGGUAGCGUGAGAAGAAGCCCCGGCUAACUUCGUGCCAGCAGCCGCGGUAAUACGAAGGGGGCGAGCGUUGUUCGGAAUUACUGGGCGUAAAGGGCGCGUAGGCGGCCCGAUCAGUC